UAGGGAAUCUUCGGCAAUGGACGGAAGUCUGACCGAGCAACGCCGCGUGAGUGAAGAAGGUUUUCGGAUCGUAAAGCUCUGUUGUUAGAGAAGAACGUUGGUAGGAGUGGAAAAUCUACCAAGUGACGGUAACUAACCAGAAAGGGACGGCUAACUACGUGCCAGCAGCCGCGGUAAUACGUAGGUCCCGAGUGUUGUCCGGAUUUAUUGGGCGUAAAGCGAGCGCAGGCGGUUCUUUAAGUCUGAAGUUAAAGGCAGUGGCUUAACCAUUGUACGCAUUGGAAACUGGAGGACUUGAGUGCAGAAGGGGAGGGUGGAAUUCCAUGUGUAGCGGUUAAAUGCGUAGAUAUAUGGAGGAACACCGGUGGCGAAAGCGGCUCUCUGGUCUGUAACUGACGAUGAGGCUCGAAAGCGUGGGGAGCAAACAGG
rnacentral:rRNA from 1 species